GCUUGCUACAGGCUUAACACAUGCAAGUCGAGGGGCAGCAUUUCAGUUUGCUUGCAAACUGGAGAUGGCGACCGGCGCACGGGUGAGUAACACGUAUCCAACCUGCCGAUAACUCGGGGAUAGCCUUUCGAAAGAAAGAUUAAUACCCGAUGGUAUAAUCAGACCGCAUGGUCUUGUUAUUAAAGAAUUUCGGUUAUCGAUGGGGAUGCGUUCCAUUAGGCAGUUGGUGAGGUAGCGGCUCACCAAACCUUCGAUGGAUAGGGGUUCUGAGAGGAAGGUCCCCCACAUUGGAACUGAGACACGGUCCAAACUCCUACGGGAGGCAGCAGUGAGGAAUAUUGGUCAAUGGGCGCAAGCCUGAACCAGCCAAGUAGCGUGAAGGAUGACUGCCCUAUGGGUUGUAAACUUCUUUUAUAUGGGAAUAAAGUUUUCCACGUGUGGAAUUUUGUAUGUACCAUAUGAAUAAGGAUCGGCUAACUCCGUGCCAGCAGCCGCGGUAAUACGGAGGAUCCGAGCGUUAUCCGGAUUUAUUGGGUUUAAAGGGAGCGUAGGUGGACAGUUAAGUCAGUUGUGAAAGUUUGCGGCUCAACCGUAGAAUUGCAGUUGAUACUGGCUGUCUUGAGUACAGUAGAGGUGGGCGGAAUUCGUGGUGUAGCGGUGAAAUGCUUAGAUAUCACGAAGAACUCCGAUUGCGAAGGCAGCCCACUGGACUGCAACUGACACUGAUGCUCGAAAGUGUGGGUAUCAAACAGGAUUAGAUACCCUGGUAGUCCACACAGUAAACGAUGAAUACUCGCUGUUUGCGAUAUACAGUAAGCGGCCAAGCGAAAGCAUUAAGUAUUCCACCUGGGGAGUACGCCGGCAACGGUGAAACUCAAAGGAAUUGACGGGGGCCCGCACAAGCGGAGGAACAUGUGGUUUAAUUCGAUGAUACGCGAGGAACCUUACCCGGGCUUAAAUUGCAUUUGAAUAAUCUGGAAACAGGUUAGCCGCAAGGCAAAUGUGAAGGUGCUGCAUGGUUGUCGUCAGCUCGUGCCGUGAGGUGUCGGCUUAAGUGCCAUAACGAGCGCAACCCUUAUCUUUAGUUACUAACAGGUCAUGCUGAGGACUCUAGAGAGACUGCCGUCGUAAGAUGUGAGGAAGGUGGGGAUGACGUCAAAUCAGCACGGCCCUUACGUCCGGGGCUACACACGUGUUACAAUGGGGGGUACAGAAGGCAGCUACCUGGUGACAGGAUGCUAAUCCCAAAAGCCUCUCUCAGUUCGGAUCGAAGUCUGCAACCCGACUUCGUGAAGCUGGAUUCGCUAGUAAUCGCGCAUCAGCCAUGGCGCGGUGAAUACGUUCCCGGGCCUUGUACACACCGCCCGUCAAGCCAUGAAAGCCGGGGGUACCUGAAGUACGUAACCGCAAGGAGCGUCCUAGGGUAAAACUGGUAAUUGGGGCUA
rnacentral:rRNA from 1 species